UGUUACCUUGUUACGACUUCACCCCAGUCGCUGAUCCUACCGUGGCCGCCUGCCCCCCGAAGGUUAGCGCAGCGUCGUCGGGUAGAACCAACUCCCAUGGUGUGACGGGCGGUGUGUACAAGGCCCGGGAACGUAUUCACCGCGUCAUGCUGUUACGCGAUUACUAGCGAUUCCGACUUCAUGGGUCGAGUUGCAGACCCCAAUCCGAACUGAGACAGUUUUUUGGGAUUAACCCAUUGUCACUGCCAUUGUAGCACGUGUGUAGCCCAACCCGUAAGGGCCAUGAGGACUUGACGUCAUCCACACCUUCCUCCCGCUUAUCACGGGCAGUUUCCCU
rnacentral:rRNA from 1 species